GCAUACAAGCUUAUAUAGAGAAGUAUGGAACAGGCUCCAUAUUCUCGAGAGCAUUAAAGGGAACAGGCUCCCUUGGAACUACAACAAAGACUAAAGACUUAUUCAAAUUUGAAAAGAGUUUUAAAACAUGAAAUAAAAACCAUAGUUUAAAAAUAACAUAAGGUGGAACCAUGAUACAUCAUCUAAGGUUUAUGUAAGUAACUUGUGGCCUCAUUAAAAACCUGCCUUUGGAAAACCCAAUGGGACAAAACCAAAGGUUAGGAAAAGAGCACACACAAGCACUUGCUUAGAUGAUGAUCAGUUUGAAACCAUUGCUUGAAUGGUGAUAAGAGUGUCUUGAUUGAUCAAACGUCCAUCAAGGCCGUCUUCUUGCUUCCAUGAGAUCAUAAGUAGACUUCCAACAGCUUCUUUGAGUCUUCUAGCUUUGGCGCGAGUGAUGGGACCUGGUGGAAUGACUAAGGCAUCAUCUUCUUCCCUUGAUUUGUCUUUGAACUCUUCAUCUCCAUCCUUGUGCUGGUCCAUGAUCAUAUCAACACACAAGCUCACGGAAACCUAAAGAGUAUACACUUUUGUGUAUGUAGAGUGAUGAAUAAAUAUCAAGAGAUGAUUUAUGUAGUUUGUAUGAGAUUAGGAGAUUAAGAGAGACUAAGAGAAUAAAGAACAAGAGAGAAUACUCA
rnacentral:lncRNA from 1 species